rnacentral:rRNA from 1 species
AAGACCUUGCGCUUUUGGAGCGGCCGAUGCCUGAUUAGCUUGUUGGUAAGGUAAAAGCUUACCAAGGCUUCGAUCAGUAGCUGGUCUGAGAGGACGGCCAGCCACACUGGGACUGAGACACGGCCCAGACUCCUACGGGAGGCAGCAGUGGGGAAUUUUGGACAAUGGGGGCAACCCUGAUCCAGCCAUGCCGCGUGAGUGAAGAAGGCCUUCGGGUUGUAAAGCUCUUUCAGCCGGAACGAAACGGUUACGGUUAAUACCCGUGAUUACUGACGGUACCGGAAGAAGAAGCACCGGCUAACUACGUGCCAGCAGCCGCGGUAAUACGUAGGGUGCGAGCGUUAAUCGGAAUUACUGGGCGUAAAGCGUGCGCAGGCGGUUUUGUAAGUCAGAUGUGAAAUCCCCGGGCUUAACCUGGGAACU